UCCCUGGUGGUCUAGUGGUUAGGACUUGGCACUUUCACUGCUGUACCCUGGGUUCAAUCCCUGGUCUGGGAA
rnacentral:tRNA from 1 species